AGAGUUUGAUCCUGGCUCAGAUUGAACGCUGGCGGCAGGCCUAACACAUGCAAGUCGUGCGGUAGAGAGAAGCUUGCUUCUCUUGAGAGAGGCGGACGGGUGAGUAAUGCCUAGGAAUCUGCCUGGUAGUGGGGGAUAACGUUCGGAAACGGACGCUAAUACCGCAUACGUCCUACGGGAGAAAGCAGGGGACCUUCGGGCCUUGCGCUAUCAGAUGAGCCUAGGUCGGAUUAGCUAGUUGGUGAGGUAAUGGCUCACCAAGGCAACGAUCCGUAACUGGUCUGAGAGGAUGAUCAGUCACACUGGAACUGAGACACGGUCCAGACUCCUACGGGAGGCAGCAGUGGGGAAUAUUGGACAAUGGGCGAAAGCCUGAUCCAGCCAUGCCGCGUGUGUGAAGAAGGUCUUCGGAUUGUAAAGCACUUUAAGUUGGGAGGAAGAGCAGUUACCUAAUACGUGAUUGUUUUGACGUUACCGACAGAAUAAGCACCGGCUAACUCUGUGCCAGCAGCCGCGGUAAUACAGAGGGUGCAG
rnacentral:rRNA from 1 species